GGCAAACUCAAGCCCAACAGGCAACAACAGCUGUCAGUUCAAGUCAAGGAACCCCUUUGAAAAUGAACAUGACAGUUUUUUCUCGCCAAAACUUAGCGUAAAUUUGAAGCGUUAUGUAACAUCCUUCGCGACAAGCUAGUAUGACAUGGUUGGUACCAGUGGUUGCCUUUCUAGAUUCAUAUGAUAGCAGUAUC